GUUAAGCGACUAAGCGUACACGGUGGAUGCCCUGGCAGUCAGAGGCGAUGAAGGACGUGCUAAUCUGCGAUAAGCGUCGGUAAGGUGAUAUGAACCGUUAUAACCGGCGAUUUCCGAAUGGGGAAACCCAGUGUGUUUCGACACACUAUCAUUAACUGAAUCCAUAGGUUAAUGAGGCGAACCGGGGGAACUGAAACAUCUAAGUACCCCGAGGAAAAGAAAUCAACCGAGAUUCCCCCAGUAGCGGCGAGCGAACGGGGAGCAGCCCAGAGCCUGAAUCAGUGUGUGUGUUAGUGGAAGCGUCUGGAAAGGCGCGCGAUACAGGGUGACAGCCCCGUACACAAAAAUGCACAUGCUGUGAGCUCGAUGAGUAGGGCGGGACACGUGGUAUCCUGUCUGAAUAUGGGGGGACCAUCCUCCAAGGCUAAAUACUCCUGACUGACCGAUAGUGAACCAGUACCGUGAGGGAAAGGCGAAAAGAACCCCGGCGAGGGGAGUGAAAAAGAACCUGAAACCGUGUACGUACAAGCAGUGGGAGCACGCUUAGGCGUGUGACUGCGUACCUUUUGUAUAAUGGGUCAGCGACUUAUAUUCUGUAGCAAGGUUAACCGAAUAGGGGAGCCGAAGGGAAACCGAGUCUUAACUGGGCGUUAAGUUGCAGGGUAUAGACCCGAAACCCGGUGAUCUAGCCAUGGGCAGGUUGAAGGUUGGGUAACACUAACUGGAGGACCGAACCGACUAAUGUUGAAAAAUUAGCGGAUGACUUGUGGCUGGGGGUGAAAGGCCAAUCAAACCGGGAGAUAGCUGGUUCUCCCCGAAAGCUAUUUAGGUAGCGCCUCGUGAAUUCAUCUCCGGGGGUAGAGCACUGUUUCGGCAAGGGGGUCAUCCCGACUUACCAACCCGAUGCAAACUGCGAAUACCGGAGAAUGUUAUCACGGGAGACACACGGCGGGUGCUAACGUCCGUCGUGAAGAGGGAAACAACCCAGACCGCCAGCUAAGGUCCCAAAGUCAUGGUUAAGUGGGAAACGAUGUGGGAAGGCCCAGACAGCCAGGAUGUUGGCUUAGAAGCAGCCAUCAUUUAAAGAAAGCGUAAUAGCUCACUGGUCGAGUCGGCCUGCGCGGAAGAUGUAACGGGGCUAAACCAUGCACCGAAGCUGCGGCAGCGACGCUGAUGCGUUGUUGGGUAGGGGAGCGUUCUGUAAGCCUGCGAAGGUGUGCUGUGAGGCAUGCUGGAGGUAUCAGAAGUGCGAAUGCUGACAUAAGUAACGAUAAAGCGGGUGAAAAGCCCGCUCGCCGGAAGACCAAGGGUUCCUGUCCAACGUUAAUCGGGGCAGGGUGAGUCGACCCCUAAGGCGAGGCCGAAAGGCGUAGUCGAUGGGAAACAGGUUAAUAUUCCUGUACUUGGUGUUACUGCGAAGGGGGGACGGAGAAGGCUAUGUUGGCCGGGCGACGGUUGUCCCGGUUUAAGCGUGUAGGCUGGUUUUCCAGGCAAAUCCGGAAAAUCAAGGCUGAGGCGUGAUGACGAGGCACUACGGUGCUGAAGCAACAAAUGCCCUGCUUCCAGGAAAAGCCUCUAAGCAUCAGGUAACAUCAAAUCGUACCCCAAACCGACACAGGUGGUCAGGUAGAGAAUACCAAGGCGCUUGAGAGAACUCGGGUGAAGGAACUAGGCAAAAUGGUGCCGUAACUUCGGGAGAAGGCACGCUGAUAUGUAGGUGAAGUCCCUCGCGGAUGGAGCUGAAAUCAGUCGAAGAUACCAGCUGGCUGCAACUGUUUAUUAAAAACACAGCACUGUGCAAACACGAAAGUGGACGUAUACGGUGUGACGC
rnacentral:rRNA from 1 species